rnacentral:misc_RNA from 1 species
GAUGAAGAACGCAGCGAAAUGCGAUAAGUAAUGUGAAUUGCAGAAUUCAGUGAAUCAUCGAAUCUUUGAACGCACCUUGCGCCCUUUGGCUAUUCUGAAGGGCAUGCCUGUUUGAGUAUCGUGAACACCUCAACUCUCAUGGUCUGCCAUGAUGAGCUUGGACUUUGGGGGUCUUGCUGGCCUACUGUCAGCUCCUCUCAAAUGAAUCAGCUUACCAGUGUUUGGUGGCACCACAGGUGUGAUAACUAUCUACGCUUGUGGUUUUCUGCCAGGUAACCUCCAGUGAUGGAGGUUCGCUGGAGCUCACAAAUGUCUCUCCUCAGCGAGGACAGCUUUUUGAACGUUUGAUCUCAAAUCAGGUAGGACUACCCGCUGAACUUAAGCAUAUCAAUAAGCGGAGG